UUGUGCAGAGUGAAAGAGGAUGCAGCCUCACCACUGACUGGUAGGAAUCUUCAAGAAUUUAGAAUUAGAAUUUUAUGAAGUCAUUGUGUAUUGCUGUCUUAAGAAAUGUGCUUAUUACAUUGAGAGAAGUAUUACAUGGAGCGAUUUCUUAUAAGAAGUUCCAAGAACUUCGCUUCUGCGACGGCAGAGAUAUUGGUGUUUCUUAGAUCACAGCUUCAAAACUAAGAUAUAUACCGACGGGUAUAUAUAGAGAGAGAGAUAAUAACAGAAAAAAAAUUUGCUAAUGGAAAGAGUCCGGUUCAAGCGAUAAAUAAGAGAGUACUUAUUAAGAAGCGCAAGAUGCGCAGUAUUUUUGCGGCCAGUUAUCAUCAAGUGGCAUGCCCCAUUGACGCGUUCCAUCAUAUCAGUGGUACAUGAUACACUUGGCAAAUUUAACGCACAAGUAAAUUUUACUGAGAUAAAAAAAAAGAAAUUAUUUUUAAAAAAAGAAGGGAAGAGAAAACUGUAAGCCCUACCAAAUUGCUAUAUGUGGACUCGCCUCACAGGUAAACUCUUUUACAUUCUUAAGGUUUGCUCUAAUGAACCUAUAGGUUAUAUGAUUAAUUGAAUGUCUAGAGAUUUGGCACACACAAACCUUUUCUGUCUGUGCACAAGAAUGCAUAUUCACUUGAUUUUAAUAGCAUGCUAAAUUGAUCAAAACUUUGAAAGUUACAGAAGCUGAAAAAAUAAAAUAAAAUAAAAUAUGGGGAAAACAUGCAGCAAAGCACAUCCUGAGAUGGGACAUCCAUGUGAAUUAUGGGGAAGGAUGUUUGAACCUAUACGAUGUACGGGUUAAAGAAUGCGCUUUCCCAGAAAAAGGUAGUUUUAGUCUCAGACAGUUAGUACAACAGAAACUUAAUUUGGAGACAAAGGAGAGAGACUAAAACAAAGAGCGAAGUGCAGUUUUUAGCAGACUGGAAGGCAUUUGCUGAAUGGCAGAGCGAGGAACAUAAAAGAGAGAAAAAAAUGUCAGGCAGGGCCCCCACCUGUUUCUCAGUGCGCUAAAUUGCAGAAAGCCGAUCCCGACCUGGACUCCGCGACACCCAAUAAGGAGGGAGAAACCUGCAGUUUCAGAGGCUACUCCUCACGAUGAAGCAGCCCAGUCUACGCCACUCUAACUGAACUUCUCAGAACUGAGCCACAAACCCCACCGUACUAUGCGCCAGCCGUCCUAACUUCACCGGUGGCGUUACACACGAGAUCCCAAGUGAAGGGACCAACAACAUUGCUGCCUGAGGGCUUCAGACCAACAAAAUCGGACAGAGAAGGGGCAAUGCACGCUGUGGUAAAUGUCCCAAUGCUAGAAGUUGCCAGAGAAGGAGGCCCUAUUUACAGACCCUGGACAUUGGAAGACAUCAGGAGCAGCAUGACGCAUCUGCCGGCGCUCCGCGAAGUAGGAUGACGAAAGUUUGGGGAUGAACUUCAGAUAUUCUGCGGAGAAUUCAGACCCACCACUCGUGAACUACGACGACUGCUCGUGGCGAAAUUGGCACGGACUGGGUCAAGGUUUCACGUGAAUUCCUAGAGAACGAUGUCCGCCUGAUCAGCCCACAGUGGGAUGGUGGAGUCAACGCAAGGUACAGAGCACAAAUCACGGCGCUCCAGCAGAGGCUGACGAACACCUUUCCUGUGUGACUGGACAUGACAAAAACUGCCAAGUGGAAACAACACUCAGAGACUGUAUCACAGUACCUGUCCAGGCUCACUGAGAUCCAUGAUGCAAACUCAGGCUCGGAGAAACCCGACGCUGUGGCAGAUGGGCGGCCGUCACAGCAUGGGAGGCACAUCUCAGAAACAGCUUUAUGAACGGCAUGAAACCAGAAAUUGCCACUAUAGUCAAACAACAAUGUAUCACCUGGGACACCAGGAACCUCACAAGUGGAAAGGUAUGCAAUCCAUGCGGAGAAGCCGAUACGAGAGGGAAAGGAAAGAAAGAUGGAGAGGAGAAGAAAACCAAAAAGACGUGGACGAGAAAGGCCAGGUGGCAACCCCCAUAGAUACAACUUCACAUAUUUUAUCUGCGGAAAAGUUGGACAUUUUGCAAGAGACUGUCCAGAGCAGAAGCGAACUGAUGGGCGGAGCUAAGGGAAGGAUGACGCACCUGGGAACAGAAGAGGAAUAUUGAGAGUCACUAACGAUAUACAACCAAAUGCUAAAGGACAGCUUAGCACCGCUACCACUUUCUCCAGGGCACAGUGUGAAACUGACACCAUUAAAUUGUUGCACCAUCUUGCCAAAGAAGGUCACAAAGCCAGUCUCUCCAAAUUACAGUAUGUACAACAUGAAGUGAGAUUUCUAAGGCAUGACAUUUCUGCAAAGGGAAAGAAACUCUCAGCUGACAGAGUAUCUGCAAGCCAGAAGUAUCCAAAGCCUCUGACAAAGAAACAAGUUCUAUCUAUCCUAGGUAUGCGUUUGUAUCAAAGAACUGUCAUUCUAAACUAUUCCAGUCUUCCAGUCUCAUUCUCAGGUAAGUUGGAUCCAGUCACUGCAGAGAUUCCCCCGUGUGUAUGUGUAGUAGCAGCAGCUGAGAAAGCUGUGGUGGCAUCUAGAGACCAGAGGAAGACGGGGAACCACAUGAUUGUGUCGUACUGACUAACGCUGCAUGAUCUGAAGCCCCGAGAGUGGAUCGUGAACAAGGACUUCCGCAGGACCAGGUGGAACAAGCCACGGUGGUCUGGGUCAUUCCAGGUUCUCUUUGUCACUCAUUCAGCAGUGAAAGUCAACCAGAGAGCCACAUGGAUGUGUGUGAGCCACUGCAGGAGGGUGCCAGAGCCGAAGGUGCUCAUCUUGCCUUGUACUGUUUCUCUCGUUCCGAGCAGUCUCUCACUCUCGUUGAAAUCACUAAUGACCAAACGCUGAUGUUGACAAAGACUGAUUACGAUCCCUAUGAUGACCAACCUGACUUGUAUCCUAAACCUGACUGGGUAUCAGAUCCUCCCAGCGACACUGACGAUGAUGACCCAUUGACAUCCAUUUCACGUCUAUUGUACAUAUGCAUUUGACCAUGACGAUUCUCAUUUCACUCUAAAAUGAGCUUGCUUGAUGACAGGAUACUUUAGAUGCGCAAAAACAACCUUAGCGCCUUCAUUAUGUCUGUAUUAUUAAGAAUUCAGUUGAACCGUGAAAGGAUUCUGAAGUUCUGAUGUACUCACAGCAUAGUAAUUUCUCUGUUAAUUUUAGUUAUCAUAUUUUGUAAUGAUAAAAUGGGGGAAAUGUGAGGGAAAUUAUGCAUUUUUACUUUGUAAUAGUUUUGUUCUUGUUCUGUUUCAUUCUCAUCAGAGGUUAACGCCUAAGAAGGCCAUGUCAUGUCACUGAGAUCAGUACAGAAUGUUUAUCUGCUAUACAAAGACACAAACAUGUUCUUCUGUUCAAGGUUCGUCUGCACAUCUUCUAAGACCCUGAAACAAAGCCUGUUUGAACUGCCUCAAACUGCUUCUUAUCGGUACACAGAAGUGUGUCAUGCUCUGCGUUUCAUAUAUAUAGUAGUGAUUCAGCACAAGUGCUUCAGAGUGCUCUCAUUAUUCUAUCCUGCAUUAUUCUAUCUUGCAUUAACCAUCUUUCUGUAAUAAACCCUUUUUUACCUUCAGAGGACAAGUCUGCGAGUGUUGUCUAAUUUCCACGACAACCGUCAAAAAGAAGUCUCCAAGAAUCCCAAAAUUUCGUUACAGCUAUGCAAUUUGUUGGUGUCAAAGUGCAUGCUUCUACAAUCAGAAGGAGAUUGAACAAAUUUGACCUGCAUUGGAGGUAUGACAGGAAAAAGCCUUUGCAAGAUUCAAGUUUGACAAUGAGCAUAUCGGCAAUGACCAGGCCUUUUGGAAUAAUGUGCUCUGGACAGACAAAUAAAUAUUUUUUAAUUGUUUUUUUAACCUUAGCGGUUCUACAAAGUGCUUUACAUGGGUUCUCAUUCAUCCAUUCACACACACACCAAUGGUAGCAGAGCUGCCAUACAAGGCGCUAGCUUGCCAUCGGGAGCUGUGUCUUGUGGAGUCAUGUGGGCCGGGAAUCAAACCGCCAACCCUACGAUUAGCGGACAACCCGCUCUACCACCUGAGCCGAAGCCACCCAUGCAGUAACAACAGACAUGUUUGGCGCAGACCAAAGACAGCUAUUCAGGAGAAGGACCUCAUACCAACUGUGAAGCAUGGUGGUGGAAAUGUUAUGGUUUGGGGUUGCUUCACUGCCUCAGGGACUGGACAGCUUGCAUUAAUUGAUUCAACUAUGAAUUCUGCAUCAUAUCAAAGAGUGCUUCAAGAUAAUGUGAGUCAAUCUGUCCAAAAGUUUAAGUUGAACUGAAAGUGGAUCUUUCAACAGGAUAAUGAUCCUAAGCACACUAGAUAAAGCCCAGAUUUGAAUCUCACUGCAAUGCUGUGGGGGGGUUUGAAAUGGGCAGUACAUGCAAGAAAACCCUCAAACAUCUUGCAACUGAAAGAAUAUUGCAUGGAAGUGUGGUCGGAAAUUGCAGUAAGCCUCGUGGACAGUUAUGCAAAACACCUACAAGAAGUCAUUUCUGCUAAAUGGGGCAAUACUAACUUCUGAGGCCAAGGGUGUACUUACUUUUUACACAGAAGAAUAUCACAUCUAUUGAAAUUGAAUAAAUGAUUGAAAA